rnacentral:siRNA from 1 species
GUGGUAGCGGUUGUUAGCGAUUGC